rnacentral:rRNA from 1 species
GUAUUAGUUAUGUUCUUCAAACCCAAAGGAUUUGGCGGUAUUUUAGUCUUUUCAGAGGAAUCUGUCCCUUAAUCGAUGGUCCACGAUAAUAAUUACUUUUAUUUGUAUUCAGUUUAUAUACCUCCGUCAUAAGAAUUUCUUUUUAAGGAAAAUUUUCUUUGUUAUUAAAUUAUUAAUAUGUCAGGUCAAGGUGUAGCUUAUAUAAAAGAGGAGAUGGAUUACAAUAAAUUUAUUUAAUAUGGAUUUUUUUUGUUAUUAAUUAAAUGAAGGUGGAUUUGAAAGUAAAAUUAUUUAUUAGGUUUUUUGAUUUUGGCUCUAAAAUAUGCACACAUCGCCCG